rnacentral:rRNA from 1 species
AGUGAACGCUGGCGGUAGGCCUAACACAUGCAAGUCGAACGGCAGCACAGUAAGAGCUUGCUCUUACGGGUGGCGAGUGGCGGACGGGUGAGGAAUACAUCGGAAUCUACUUUUUCGUGGGGGAUAACGUAGGGAAACUUACGCUAAUACCGCAUACGACCUACGGGUGAAAGCAGGGGAUCUUCUGACCUUGCGCGAUUGAAUGAGCCGAUGACGGAUUAGCUAGUUGGCGGGGUAAAGGCCCAACAAGGCAACGAUCCGUAGCUGGUCGGAGAGGAUGAUGAGCCGCACUGGAACUGAGACACGGUCCAGACUCCUACGGUAGGCAGCAGUGGGGAAUAUUGGAGAAUGGGCGCAAGCCUGAUCCAGCCAUACCGCGUGGGUGAAGAAGGCGUUCGGGUUGUAAAGCCUUUUUGUUGGGAAAGAAAAGCAGCAGAUUAAUACCCCGCUGUUCUGACGGUACCCAAAGAAUAAGCACCGGCUAACUUCGUG